UCCCUCAUAGCUCAGUUGGAAAAGAAUCUGCCUGCAAUGCAGGAGACCCAGGUUCCAUCCCUGGGUUGGGAA
rnacentral:tRNA from 1 species